AACGAACGCUGGCGGCAGGCUUAACACAUGCAAGUCGAGCGCCCCGCAAGGGGAGCGGCAGACGGGUGAGUAACGCGUGGGAAUCUACCCAUCUCUACGGAAUAACCCAGGGAAACUUGGACUAAUACCGUAUACGCCCUUCGGGGGAAAGAUUUAUCGGAGAUGGAUGAGCCCGCGUUGGAUUAGCUAGUUGGUGGGGUAAUGGCCCACCAAGGCGACGAUCCAUAGCUGGUCUGAGAGGAUGACCAGCCACACUGGGACUGAGACACGGCCCAGACUCCUACGGGAGGCAGCAGUGGGGAAUAUUGGACAAUGGGCGAAAGCCUGAUCCAGCCAUGCCGCGUGAGUGAUGAAGGCCCUAGGGUUGUAAAGCUCUUUCACCGGUGAAGAUAAUGACGGUAACCGGAGAAGAAGCCCCGGCUAACUUCGUGCCAGCCGCCGCCGUAACAC
rnacentral:rRNA from 1 species